AGAACACUGUGGGGAAGACCAGCAGCAUAUUCUUCUUCUGCUCUUGAACUCAACAUGUUCUCUACACGUCUACUGCUGUUACUGAUAGCAGCUGUUUCCUGUGUUCACUGUGUUGAACUGAGCCAGUCUGGAUCUACAGUUGUAGCACCUGGUCAAUCAACUACACUGACCUGUAGAGUUUCUGGAUAUUCACUGACUGAUAGCAGCUACUGUACAUACUGGAUACGACAGCCUGCAGGAAAAGCUCUGGAGUGGGUUGGAGGUAUAUGUGGUUGGGGUAGCACUUUCUACAGUGAUAAACUGAAGAGCAGGUUUGAAGCUACCAGAGACUCGUCCAGCAGCACAGUGUCUUUAAGAGGACAGAAUCUGCAGACUGAAGAUACAGCUGUGUAUUACUGCGCUCGAUACCCACAGUGAACCACAUCA